AUUGAACGCUGGCGGCAGGCCUAACACAUGCAAGUCGAGCGGAGCGGCGGACGGGUGGGUAAUGCCUAGGAAUCUGCCUGGUAGUCGGGGAUAACGGCCGGAAACGGGCGCUAAUACCGCAUACUAUCAGAUGAGCCGAGGUUGGAUUAGCUAGUUGGGGGGGUAAAGGCCUACCAAGGCUACGAUCCGUAACUUGUCUGAGAGGAUGAUCAGUCACACUGGAACUGAGAGACGGUCCAGACUCCUACGGGAGGCAGCAGUGGGGAAUAUUGGACAAUGGGCGAAAGCCUGAUCCAGCCAUGCCGCGUGUGUGAAGAAGGUCUUCGGAUUGUAAAGCACUUUAAGUUGGGAGGCGUUACCAACAGAAUAAGCACCGGCUAACUUCGUGCCAGCAGCCGCGGUAAUAC
rnacentral:rRNA from 1 species